rnacentral:rRNA from 1 species
UGAGUUUGAUCCUGGCUCAGAUUGAACGCUGGCGGCAGGCUUAACACAUGCAAGUCGAACGGUAACAUGAGUGCUUGCACUUGAUGACGAGUGGCGGACGGGUGAGUAAUGUAUGGGGAUCUGCCGAAUGGAGGGGGACAACAGUUGGAAACGACUGCUAAUCCUGCAUAAUGUUGAGAAACCAAAGCAUGGGACCUUCGGGCCAUGCGCCAUUUGAUGAACCCAUAUGGGAUUAGCUAGUUGGUAGGGUAAAGGCCUACCAAGGCGACGAUCUCUAGCUGGUCUGAGAGGAUGACCAGCCACACUGGAACUGAGACACGGUCCAGACUCCUACGGGAGGCAGCAGUGGGGAAUAUUGCACAAUGGGGGAAACCCUGAUGCAGCCAUGCCGCGUGUAUGAAGAAGGCCUUCGGGUUGUAAAGUACUUUCGGUAAUGAGGAAGGUGGUGUAUCUAAUAGGUGCAUCAAUUGACGUUAAUUACAGAAGAAGCACCGGCUAACUCCGUGCCAGCAGCCGCGGUAAUACGGAGGGUGCGAGCGUUAAUCGGAAUGACUGGGCGUAAAGGGCAUGUAGGCGGAUAAUUAAGUUAGGUGUGAAAGCCCUGGGCUCAACCUAGGAAUUGCACUUAAAACUGGUUAACUAGAGUAUUGUAGAGGAAGGUAGAAUUCCACGUGUAGCGGUGAAAUGCGUAGAGAUGUGGAGGAAUACCGGUGGCGAAGGCGGCCUUCUGGACAGAUACUGACGCUGAGAUGCGAAAGCGUGGGGAGCAAACAGGAUUAGAUACCCUGGUAGUCCACGCUGUAAACGAUGUCGAUUUGGAGUUUGUUGCCUAGAGUGAUGGGCUCCGAAGCUAACGCGAUAAAUCGACCGCCUGGGGAGUACGGCCGCAAGGUUAAAACUCAAAUGAAUUGACGGGGGCCCGCACGAGCGGUGGAGCAUGUGGUUUAAUUCGAUGCAACGCGAAGAACCUUACCUGGUCUUGACAUCCACAGAAUCUUUCAGAGAUGAGGGAGUGCCUUCGGGAACUGUGAGACAGGUGCUGCAUGGCUGUCGUCAGCUCGUGUUGUGAAAUGUUGGGUUAAGUCCCGCAACGAGCGCAACCCUUAUCCUUUGUUGCCAGCGAUUAGGUCGGGAACUCAAAGGAGACUGCCGUUGAUAAAACGGAGGAAGGUGGGGACGACGUCAAGUCAUCAUGGCCCUUACGACCAGGGCUACACACGUGCUACAAUGGCGUAUACAAAGGGAGGCGA